rnacentral:rRNA from 1 species
UACAGAGGGGGCAAGCGUUAUUCGGAAUUACUGGGCGUAAAGGGCGCGUAGGCGGCCGCCUAAGUCAGACGUGAAAUCCCUCGGCUCAACCGGGGAACUGCGUCUGAUACUGGGUGGCUUGAAUCCGGGAGAGGGAUGCGGAAUUCCAGGUGUAGCGGUGAAAUGCGUAGAUAUCUGGAGGAACACCGGUGGCGAAGGCGGCAUCCUGGACCGAGAUUGACGCUGAGGCGCGAAAGCCAGGGGAGCAAACGGG